UACGUAGGGGGCAAGCGUUGUCCGGAAUCAUUGGGCGUAAAGAGCGCGUAGGCGGUCCGUUAAGUCGGCUGUAAAAGUCCAGGGCUCAACCCUGGGAUGCCGGUCGAUACUGCCGGACUAGAGUUCGGAAGAGGCGAGUGGAAUUCCCGGUGUAGCGGUGAAAUGCGCAGAUAUCAGGAGGAACACCUAUUGCGAAGGCAGCUCGCUGGGACGUUACUGACGCUGAGACGCGAAAGCGUGGGGAGCGAACAGG
rnacentral:rRNA from 1 species